AGGAUAAACGCUGGCGGCGUGCAUGAGACAUGCAAGUCGAACGGACGAUCAGGGCUUGCUCUGAUCGUUAGUGGCGGACGGCUGAGUAACGCGUAGGUGACCUGCCCCGAAGUGGGGAAUAACUGCCCGAAAGGGUGGCUAAUACCGCAUGUGGUGGUGUGUUCAUUCACACCAGUAAAGCCGCAAGGCGCUUCGGGAGGGGCCUGCGUCCGAUUAGCUCGUUGGUGGGUAACGGCUCACCAAGGCGACGAUCGGUAGGUGAUCUGAGAGGACGAUCACCCAGACUGGGACUGAGACACGGCCCAGACUCCUACGGGAGGCAGCAGUCGGGAAUUUUGCGCAAUGGACGAAAGUCUGACGCAGCAACGCCGCGUGAGGGAUGAAGGCCUUCGGGUUGUAAACCUCUUUUAUCUAGGGAAGAUAAUGACGGUACCUGAUGAAUAAGUCACGGCUAACUACGUGCCAGCAGCCGC
rnacentral:rRNA from 1 species